rnacentral:rRNA from 1 species
GUGGGGGAUAUUGCACAAUGGGGGAAACCCUGAUGCAGCAACGCCGCGUGAGGGAAGAAGGUUUUCGGAUUGUAAACCUCUGUCCUCAGGGAAGAUAAUGACGGUACCUGAGGAGGAAGCUCCGGCUAACUACGUGCCAGCAGCCGCGGUAAUACGUAGGGAGCAAGCGUUGUCCGGAUUUACUGGGUGUAAAGGGUGCGUAGGCGGGAUAUCAAGUCAGACGUGAAAUCCAUCGGCUUAACUGAUGAACUGCGUUUGAAACUGGUAUUCUUGAGUGAGUCAGAGGCAGGCGGAAUUCCCGGUGUAGCGGUGAAAUGCGUAGAGAUCGGGAGGAACACCAGUGGCGAAGGCGGCCUGCUGGGGCUUAACUGACGCUGAGGCACGAAAGCGUGGGGAGCAAACAGGAUUAGAAACCCGUGUAGUCC